rnacentral:ncRNA from 1 species
AGCCGGCACAUGUGCCGGUGUACUCCUCUCCGGGCGGGCCAGCAUCGGUUUGGGCGGCUGGUGAAAGGCCCCGGGAAUGUAACACCCUCCGGGGUGCCUUAUAGCCCGGGGUGCCAUGCGGCCAGCCUGGACCGAGGCCCGCGCUUCGGCGAGGAUGCUGGCGUAAUGGUGGUCAACGGCCCGUCUUGAAACACGGACCAAGGAGUCUAACAUCUAUGCGAGUGUUCGGGUGUCAAACCCGUCCGCGCAGUGAAAGCGAACGGAGGUGGGAGCCCCUCGGGGCGCACCAUCGACCGAUCCUGAUGUCUUCGGAUGGAUUUGAGUAAGAGCAUAGCUGUUGGGACCCGAAAGAUGGUGAACUAUGCCUGAAUAGGGCGAAGCCAGAGGAAACUCUGGUGGAGGCUCGCAGCGGUUCUGACGUGCAAAUCGAUCGUCAAAUUUGGGUAUAGGGGCGAAAGACUAAUCGAACCAUCUGGUAGCUGGUUCCUGCCGAAGUUUCCCUCAGGAUAGCAGUAACGACAUCAGUUUUAUGAGGUAAAGCGAAUGAUUAGAGGCCUUGGGGUUGAAACAACCUUAACCUAUUCUCAAACUUUAAAUAUGUAAGAAGCCCUUGUUGCUUAGUUGAACGUGGGCGUUAGAAUGAAACGUUACUAGUGGGCCAUUUUUGGUAAGCAGAACUGGCGAUGCGGGAUGAACCGAACGCGAGGUUAAGGUGCCGGAAUGCACGCUCAUCAGACACCACAAAAGGUGUUAGUUCAUCUAGACAGCCCGACGGUGGCCAUGGAAGUCGGAAUCCGCUAAGGAGUGUGUAACAACUCACGGGCCGAAUGAACUAGCCCUGAAAAUGGAUGGCGCUCAAGCGUGCUACCCAUACCUCGCCGUCGGGGUAGAAACGAUGCCCCGACGAGUAGGCAGGCGUGGGGGUCCGUGACGAAGCCUUGGGAGUGAUCCCGGGUCGAACGGCCCCUAGUGCAGAUCUUGGUGGUAGUAGCAAAUACUCAAAUGAGAACUUUGAGGACUGAAGUGGGGAAAGGUUCCAUGUGAACAGCAGUUGGACAUGGGUGAGUCGAUCCUAAGACAUAGGGUAGUUCCGUUUGAAAGUGCGCCCUCGUGCGCCGUCCGUCGAAAGGGAAGCCGGUUAAUAUUCCGGCACCUGGAUGUGGAUUCUCCACGGCAACGUAACUGAACGCGGAGA